rnacentral:rRNA from 1 species
ACGCUGGCGGCGUGCCUAAUACAUGCAAGUCGAGCGGAUCGAUGGGAGCUUGCUCCCUGAGAUCAGCGGCGGACGGGUGAGUAACACGUGGGUAACCUGCCUGUAAGACUGGGAUAACUCCGGGAAACCGGGGCUAAUACCGGAUAACACCUACCCCCGCAUGGGGGAAGGUUGAAAGGUGGCUUCGGCUAUCACUUACAGAUGGACCCGCGGCGCAUUAGCUAGUUGGUGAGGUAAUGGCUCACCAAGGCGACGAUGCGUAGCCGACCUGAGAGGGUGAUCGGCCACACUGGGACUGAGACACGGCCCAGACUCCUACGGGAGGCAGCAGUAGGGAAUCUUCCGCAAUGGACGAAAGUCUGACGGAGCAACGCCGCGUGAGUGAAGAAGGUUUUCGGAUCGUAAAACUCUGUUGUUAGGGAAGAACAAGUGCCGUUCGAAUAGGGCGGCGCCUUGACGGUACCUAACCAGAAAGCCACGGCUAACUACGUGCCAGCAGCCGCGGUAAUACGUAGGUGGCAAGCGUUGUCCGGAAUUAUUGGGCGUAAAGCGCGCGCAGGUGGUUUCUUAAGUCUGAUGUGAAAGCCCACGGCUCAACCGUGGAGGGUCAU